GUACACUCUCACUCACUCUCGCGCUGUCGCCCACGAUACAUGCAGCUUGCAAGCUCGGCGUCUAAUCAUUAGUAAUGUGCCUAUAACCGAAAGCAACUGCAGUGCAAAUUACAAAUAUACAGUGUCAGGCCCGAUGCCUCUGCAGCCCUCUGUCCUUUGCCCCAGAAUGAAAAACGGAGGCAAUCGGCAUGGGAUCGCCUCCUCAUCGCCUCUACUGAAAGGAAAAGCAUUUACCCAUCGAUUGGACUCCACAUUGAGAGCGAUCUGUGGCAUUUGACAUUCGGCUUGGCCAAACACUGAAAGAUGAAUGGAACAGAGCUCUGACCAGCAGGAGGUAAGGUUUUCAUAAUGAAGUGGAAGUGGCUCGAUGAAUGGGUAUCUACGCAUCUGCGAGCAUUUGUUUAUCUUCAACUUCAAGUUCUGGGAAUUGGUUAAAAAUUAGAGUAAUAAAAUUGAAAUAUCAUGAAUCGAAUG